rnacentral:rRNA from 1 species
GACAGAGGUGCCAAGCGUUAGGCGGAAUCACUGGGCUUAAAGCGUGUGUAGGUGGAUUUGUAAGUACCUUGUGAAAUCCCAUGGCUCAACCAUGGAACUGCUCGGUAUACUGCGAAUCUUGAGCCACUUAGGGGCUACCGGAACAAAUGGUGGAGCGGUGAAAUGCGUAGAUAUCAUUUGGAACGCCAAUGGUGAAAAACAGGUAGCUGGGAGUGUGCUGACACUGAGACACGAAAGCCAGGGGAGCGAACGGGG